AUUGAACGCUGGCGGCAUGCCUUACACAUGCAAGUCGAACGGCAGCACGAGGCAACCUGGUGGCGAGUGGCGAACGGGUGAGUAAUGCAUCGGAACGUACCUUUCAGUGGGGGAUAACGUAGCGAAAGUUACGCUAAUACCGCAUAUUCUGUGAGCAGGAAAGCAGGGGAUCGCAAGACCUUGCGCUGAUUGAGCGGCCGAUGUCAGAUUAGCUAGUUGGUGAGGUAAAGGCUCACCAAGGCGACGAUCUGUAGCGGGUCUGAGAGGAUGAUCCGCCACACUGGAACUGAGACACGGUCCAGACUCCUACGGGAGGCAGCAGUGGGGAAUUUUGGACAAUGGGGGCAACCCUGAUCCAGCCAUGCCGCGUGAGUGAAGAAGGCCUUCGGGUUGUAAAGCUCUUUCGGCCGGGAAGAAAUCGCACGGGCUAAUACCCUGUGUGGAUGACGGUACCGGAAUAAGGAGCACCGGCUAACUACGUGCCAGCCGCCGCCGUAAUAC
rnacentral:rRNA from 1 species